GCGGGACGGCAGAUCAAAACCAGCUAAGUGAUUCUUCUUUUUCAUUGGGAAUAUCCCUGGUUAAUUCCUUGAACUUUGAAGUUCCAUUAAACAAGUUCAGUUCCUUUUACAAAGUUUAGAAUUAGUAUUAUGAUCAUCAAAGUAUUCUGCACAAGAUUUCUGCAUGGAAGACUUCAAAGAUUAAAUUAUUACAAUGUAUAUAUAUUUAGAUUGUAUAGAUUAAAAAAAUAUUUUAUUUACAAAAUAGUUCUGUAAAUUUUAGAAAAAAUAUAUAUUUUGUACACUAUACAA